GAGUUUGAUCCUGGCUCAGAAUCAACGCUGGCGGCGUGCCUAACACAUGCAAGUCGAACGAGAAAGUGGAGCAAUCCAUGAGUAAAGUGGCGCACGGGUGAGUAACACGUGACUAACCUACCCUGGAGUGGGGGAUAACCGAGGGAAACCUCAGCUAAUACCGCAUAACACCUACGGGUCAAAGGAGCAAUUCGCUUCAGGAGGGGGUCGCGGCCGAUUAGUUAGUUGGCGGGGUAAUGGCCCACCAAGACUGUGAUCGGUAUCCGGCCUGAGAGGGCGCACGGACACACUGGAACUGAAACACGGUCCAGACUCCUACGGGAGGCAGCAGUGGGGAAUUUUGCGCAAUGGGGGAAACCCUGACGCAGCAACGCCGCGUGGAGGAUGAAGUACUUCGGUACGUAAACUCCUUUCGAUCGGGACGAUAAUGACGGUACCGAGAGAAGAAGCCCCGGCUAACUUCGUGCCAGCAGCCGCGGUAAUACG
rnacentral:rRNA from 1 species